rnacentral:rRNA from 1 species
UACGGGGGGGGCAAGCGUUGUUCGGAAUUACUGGGCGUAAAGGGCGCGUAGGCGGCCUUCUAAGUCGGACGUGAAAUCCCUCGGCUUAACCGAGGAACUGCGUCCGAUACUGGAAGGCUUGAAUCCGGGAGAGGGAUGUGGAAUUCCAGGUGUAGCGGUGAAAUGCGUAGAUAUCUGGAGGAGCACCGGUGGCGAAGGCGGCAUCCUGGACCGGCAUUGACGCUGAGGCGCGAAAGCUAGGGGAGCAAACGGG